AAGACUAUUGCAGAUAUAUUGGUAGUAAUAAGGCAGAAAAAUGAGCAUGUUAUCAAACAAAUAUAUAUUCCAAAGACGAUAUUUGUUAUGCACAAACACAUAUGUGAAUCACAAGACAACCAAUAAAAAUAACAUUUUUAUUGGUAACAGAGAUAUAUCAUACGGAUGUAAUAGAACAACUUUAGAAUUUCUCAACUUCGAACACCAGUUUUCCGUCAAGGAUGGCAGCAUGAAGAAUCAAAAUAUCUGUGAGAAAAAUGACAUCAAUUAUAUGACAAUAAUGCAGAAUAAAUAAACUGAAUUUGAAGACAUACAGUACCUUGGGAUAUCUCAGAGAAAAGAAUGGAAACACCAGAGAGGCGAAAGAGAAACAUCCCAGUACCCUCCAAGCUUCGUCCUGAGCAAAAACAAAAGUGAAAUCAAAAUCACCGAUGUUUCUACACUUUUGGUCAGGGGAAACAAAAAUUAAAAGCCUGGAGUGGAAAGUAAUUGAGCCAAAAACUGCCAAGGAAAUAAAUCAUGGGAGAUUGUGAUGAGGUGAGGUGGAAUUAAGGGGUGGGAAGACAGUUUUCUGAGUGUGGGAAGUUUUUGCAAAAACUUCGAUGAUUAAGGAAACCCAAUUCCUCGACAUAUUUCCCUCUUUUCUGAUAAAUAUCUGAACGUGGUGGUUAUU
rnacentral:lncRNA from 1 species